rnacentral:ncRNA from 1 species
GCGAUGAAGCGGGAGGUGGCCGCCUUUGAGGCGGGAAAUUUCCGUGGAGUAUGUCCGAUUUUAAACCGGGCGACAA